GAUGAACGCUGGCGGCGUGCCUAAUACAUGCAAGUCGAGCGAACAGACGAGGAGCUUGCUCCUCUGACGUUAGCGGCGGACGGGUGAGUAACACGUGGAUAACCUACCUAUAAGACUGGGAUAACUUCGGGAAACCGGAGCUAAUACCGGAUAAUAUAUUGAACCGCAUGGUUCAAUAGUGAAAGACGGUUUUGCUGUCACUUAUAGAUGGAUCCGCGCCGCAUUAGCUAGUUGGUAAGGUAACGGCUUACCAAGGCAACGAUGCGUAGCCGACCUGAGAGGGGGAGGGGCAAAACUGGAACUGAGACAGGGCCCAGAUCCCAAGGGGGGGCAGAAGAGGGGAAAUUUCCGAAAGGGGCGAAAGCCGAAGGGGGAAAGGCCGGGGGAGGGAGAAAGGUUUUGGGAUCGGAAAAAUUUUUUAUUAGGGAAAAAAAAAUGGGAAAGUAAAUAGGCACGGUUGGAGGGAAACAAAUAAGAAAGCAACGGCAAACUACGG
rnacentral:rRNA from 1 species